GGGGGACACGACCCCCCCAUCCUGGGAAAAAUAUGACUUGUCCCCCCCAAUAUAUCACUGUAAACAUAACUAUGUAAUUUCAAUAAUAUUAAUAAUACGCAAUGAAAGCACUUGUGCUGAUUAUAGACACUUAAUAGCGCGUUUUUAAGUUUCACAAGAUUGCGACCCCCCCGCCCUUUGCCUCACGAUGGUUUGAUCCACUGCCAGUUCUUUAGCUUGCAAGGUAAUAGAGGGUUCGUAUCUACUGUCCGAAAGGCACUCGAUGUACGUAACUGACGUGAGGCAGAGCAGGCAACAGAUGGCACACAGACAGCUGAGUUGGGGACAGAUAUGCAGGGACAGACUGGCAGAGACAGGGAGUCUCAGGAGUCAGACUGUGAGUCAGUGAGGGUGGUGAAAGGGAAAGAGCCAAGGAGAGAGACUUCAGAGGACAGUGUCACAGCCACGGCAGGACCAGGUGUCACCCUUGUUGCCAGCAGCACCAGUAUAGGGGACAGUGGCACAGCAUCGUCCAGUUACCUCAGUGAUGGCACAAAACCAUA